CAAUAGCGUAUAUUAAAGUUGUUGCAGUUAAAAAGCUCGUAGUUGGAUUUCUGGUGGGAGCGAUCGGUCUGGCGCUUAGCGCGAGUACUUGCAUCGUCUCCGGCCAUCCUUGGGGAGAGUCUGUCUGGCAUUAGGUUGUCGGGCAGAGGAUCCUCAUCGUUUACUGUGAAAAAAUUAGAGUGUUCAAAGCAGGCUUAUGCCGUUGAAUAUAUUAGCAUGGAAUAAUAAGAUAGGACUUUUGUACUAUUUUGUUGGUUUGCGCACCAAAGUAAUGAUUAAUAGGGACAGUUGGGGGUAUUCGUAUUCCGUUGUCAGAGGUGAAAUUCUUGGAUUUACGGAAGACGAACUACUGCGAAAGCAUUUACCAAGGAUGUUUUCAUUAA
rnacentral:rRNA from 1 species